UCCUCUCUCAAGUUUCUACUUAAACAAGUAGUAAAGGCUGGUGAGGUGGGAAUGGGAAACUGGAUCUCCAGCCUUUGGGCAGGACACUGCUGAUCAAUGCCCAGCAGCCCCACAGAUGCCUUUGAGGAGAGUACUGCCAGAGAUGUUCUGCUCUUGGUUUGCUAAAGAUAACAGGUAAUUUUCUUGCCUCUCUCUUUAAAACUGAUCAUUCCUUGGAAGGAAUAGUGGCUGGUCCAAGCAGACCUACCUUGUCAUGAAGCUGGUUUGUAUUGGCUGAUCACACGGCUGUGUAGACACUAUAGGAGGAUUGAUGUACCUGGGAAGGCAAAAGCUGCACAGGAAGAUUCAGGUGUGAUUUCAACCAUUCUCAGGAAGCCAGGAAGCAACUAGAGGUGUAGAUGAUGUGUUCCAGAUGUCUGCCCAGCAGUAAUGUGAGCAGGCAGAAGGUCAGCAGCACACACUGACAGUUCCAGUGCUGAGAAGUGACUGGAGCAGAAUGGAACCAACCCAAACUCUUGUUCAGGAGGUAGAUAUGAAAUCCAGCUACGAGAACUGCAGAGAUCAACUCCAAAUAGUGACAGGGAAGAAAAGGAAGUAACAGGCAAUUGCCGCAAGAAUGCUAUCUUCGCCUGUAAGCCAAGUAUUUCAUGCUUCCAUAGGUACUAGCAUUUCCUUCACCUACCCAUUUUAGUCUCCCUUUUAUUUGUGUUUAGCCAAAUUUCUGAAAUAGCCACAAAAUUAAUUUUUGUGUAUAAUUUUUACCUAAUGGAUGAGACAAAUGGUUUUCUCAGAGCACAUUUAACAUGUUUUCCAUAGCUUUAGACCAGCCAACAUCUCAUUCAAAACUUGACACAUUUAUUUUUCUGAAUUGACAAAUUCAAGUUAAUCCUUUUAUUUUUGAGGGCCAUUUAUUAAAUGCAGUUAACAUGAGAAAUAUAGGCUCUCCAUAUUCGUAAAACCAAAUCCUAAAUCCAUAUUUAUAGUUUAGCUCUGUAUUUGCUGAGGUAUAAACACAAUUAAAAUAAGGCAUACAAAGGACUUGCAGCAACAUCUUGUUGCAUCUGAGACAUCAUCAUGCCCAUCAUCUUAUAAAGGCAUUUUUCCUUAUGAUCAGAAAAGGAAACAAAGCUAUCAGUAAAGGAUCUAAGAAUACUCUGACAUCUGAAACAACGGCAAUUUGCUUUGAUGACCUCUGUACAGAGCUGAGCAAAACUUUUUAAUUUACUGCAGAUAGAAAACCUAAUUUUUAUAUGAAGUAUGUGCAUUCAGGCUGGUCCAAAACAUUUGUAUGCACAUGCAAACCUAUAUUUAACUUUUAUCUUUAUUUCAACAAAAGUAAAUUUAAUUGCACCUUUCAUCAGGAAAGUCUGAAAUAAUCAAUGCUGAAGCCAUUUCCACAAUUACUCACUUCAUUCUUCACUAACUGAUGUGGGCAAACUGUUUCCUGGGCUUUUUUAUAUAUAUAAGAACAAUUUUUAUAUAUAAGAACA